rnacentral:rRNA from 1 species
GACGAACGCUGGCGGCGUGCUUAACACAUGCAAGUCGAACGAGACGAUUGAAAGCUUGCUUUUAAAAGUCGAGUGGCAUACGGGUGAGUAACGCGUAGACAACCUGCCUUUGAGAUGGGGACAACGGUUCGAAAGGACUGCUAAUACCGAAUGUUGUAUAUUUUCCACAUGGAAGAUAUAUUAAAGAUGGCCUCUAUUUAUAAGCUAUCGCUCAAAGAUGGGUCUGCGUCUGAUUAGCUGGUUGGUGGGGUAACGGCCUACCAAGGCGACGAACAGGAGCCGGUAUGAGAGGAUGAACGGCCACAUUGGGACUGAGACACGGCCCAGACUCCUACGGGAGGCAGCAGUGGGGAAUCUUCCACAAUGGACGAAAGUCUGAUGGAGCAACGCCGCGUGAGUGAAGAAGGGUUUCGGCUCGUAAAGCUCUGUUGUCGGGGACGAAUGUGCAGUAUUUGAAUAAAGUACUGCAAUGACGGUACCUGACGAGGAAGCCACGGCUAACUACGUGCCAGCAGCCGCCGUAA